rnacentral:misc_RNA from 1 species
UUGAUUGUUUUUUUUUUCACUCAGAAGCCCGCUGGAAGACAGAGCUGGAUGUGUCGCGCUCCGGCGGGCGCCCCCGUAGGAGCCGCGAUCCCGCCCUGGGAUCGCCCGCCGAGGCAGCAAAUGGAACGGUUCACAGUGGUUUUUAAGGCGCUAGACCUUCUGUAAUGAUCCCUCCGCUGGUUCACCAACGGAGA